GAGUGAAAUAGAACCUGAAACCGUGUGCUUACAAGUAGUCAGAGCCCGUUAAUGGGUGAUGGCGUGCCUUUUGUAGAAUGAACCGGCGAGUUACGAUUUGAUGCAAGGUUAAGCAGUAAAUGUGGAGCCGUAGCGAAAGCGAGUCUGAAUAGGGCGUUUAGUAUUUGGUCGUAGACCCGAAACCAGGUGAUCUACCCUUGGUCAGGUUGAAGUUCAGGUAACACUGAAUGGAGGACCGAACCGACUUACGUUGAAAAGUGAGCGGAUGAACUGAGGGUAGCGGAGAAAUUCCAAUCGAACCUGGAGAUAGCUGGUUCUCUCCGAAAUAGCUUUAGGGCUAGCCUCAAGUGAUGAUUAUUGGAGGUAGAGCACUGUUUGGACGAGGGGCCCCUCUCGGGUUACCGAAUUCAGACAAACUCCGAAUGCCAAUUAAUUUAACUUGGGAGUCAGAACAUGGGUGAUAAGGUCCGUGUUCGAAAGGGAAACAGCCCAGACCACCAGCUAAGGUCCCAAAAUAUAUGUUAAGUGGAAAAGGAUGUGGCGUUGCCCAGACAACUAGGAUGUUGGCUUAGAAGCAGCCAUCAUUUAAAGAGUGCGUAAUAGCUCACUAGUCGAGUGACACUGCGCCGAAAAUGUACCGGGGCUAAACAUAUUACCGAAGCUGUGGAUUGUCCUUUGGACAAUGGUAGGAGAGCGUUCUAAGGGCGUUGAAGCAUGAUCGUAAGGACAUGUGGAGCGCUUAGAAGUGAGAAUGCCGGUGUGAGUAGCGAAAGACGGGUGAGAAUCCCGUCCACCGAUUGACUAAGGUUUCCAGAGGAAGGCUCGUCCGCUCUGGGUUAGUCGGGUCCUAAGCUGAGGCCGACAGGCGUAGGCGAUGGAUAACAGGUUGAUAUUCCUGUACCACCUAUAAUCGUUUUAAUCGAUGGGGGGACGCAGUAGGAUAGGCGAAGCGUGCGAUUGGAUUGCACGUCUAAGCAGUAAGGCUGAGUAUUAGGCAAAUCCGGUACUCGUUAAGGCUGAGCUGUGAUGGGGAGAAGACAUUGAGUCUUCGAGUCGUUGAUUUCACACUGCCGAGAAAAGCCUCUAGAUAGAAAAUAGGUGCCCGUACCGCAAACCGACACAGGUAGUCAAGAUGAGAAUUCUAAGGUGAGCGAGCGAACUCUCGUUAAGGAACUCGGCAAAAUGACCCCGUAACUUCGGGAGAAGGGGUGCUCUUUAGGGUUAACGCCCAGAAGAGCCGCAGUGAAUAGGCCCAAGCGACUGUUUAUCAAAAACACAGGUCUCUGCUAAACCGUAAGGUGAUGUAUAGGGGCUGACGCCUGCCCGGUGCUGGAAGGUUAAGAGGAGUGGUUAGCUUCUGCGAAGCUACGAAUCGAAGCCCCAGUAAACGGCGGCCGUAACUAUAACGGUCCUAAGGUAGCGAAAUUCCUUGUCGGGUAAGUUCCGACCCGCACGAAAGGCGUAACGAUUUGGGCACUGUCUCAACGAGAGACUCGGUGAAAUCAUAGU
rnacentral:rRNA from 1 species